AUGACACCGCUGCUGAAACCACCGAACACUUUAGUUCAGAAAGUGUCGGAUCUUAUAGAUCCCGAGAACUGGUCAUGGAGGCAUGAGUUGAUUCGAACUACAUUCAUUACUCCUGAUGCUGACGCCAUUCUGAACAUCCCAAUCAGAAGGGGCGGAGGUGGCGAUUCUUAUGCUUGGGCUUUUGAAAGAUCAGGCAACUGCACUGUUAAGUCGGCGUACCGUGCUCUAGUGACUCAGAACGAGUGUGUUGCUCUAGAGGAAGGGGCGGUUACCGGUUCUUCAACAGAUGACAAACAGAUGUGGUCUGCCCUGUGGAAACUCAAAGUGAUCCCAAAGGUACGAGUGUUU
rnacentral:rRNA from 1 species